rnacentral:rRNA from 1 species
GGUACAUCGGUGACAGGUGGUGCAUGGUUGUCGUCAGCUCGUGUCGUGAGAUGUUGGGUUAAGUCCCGCAACGAGCGCAACCCCUAUUGUUAGUUGCCAUCAUUCAGUUGGGCACUCUAGCGAGACUGCCGGUAAUAGACCGGAGGAAGGUGGGGAUGACGUCAAAUCAUCAUGCCCCUUAUGACCUGGGCUACACACGUGCUACAAUGGUUGGUACAACGAGUUGCGAGUCGGUGACGGCGAGCUAAUCUCUUAAAGCCAAUCUCAGUUCGGAUUGUAGGCUGCAACUCGCCUACAUGAAGUCGGAAUCGCUAGUAAUCGCGGAUCAGCACGCCGCGGUCGAAUACGUUCCCGGGCCUU